rnacentral:rRNA from 1 species
UACAGAGGGGGCGAGCGUUGUUCGGAAUUACUGGGCGUAAAGGGCGCGUAGGCGGCCUGCUAAGUCAUACGUGAAAUCCCUCGGCUCAACCGGGGAACUGCGUGUGAUACUGGCGGGCUUGAAUUCGGGAGAGGGAUGCGGAAUUCCAGGUGUAGCGGUGAAAUGCGUAGAUAUCUGGAGGAACACCGGUGGCGAAGGCGGAUCUCUGGGCCAUUACUGACGCUGAGGAGCGAAAGCGUGGGGAGCGAACAGG